rnacentral:tRNA from 1 species
UUUUUAUAGUUUAAAUAAAAAAUACUACACUGAAAAUGUAGAGAUAGUUUUUAAAAA